rnacentral:rRNA from 1 species
UAGGGAAUCUUCCACAAUGGGCGCAAGUCUGAUGGAGCAACGCCGCGUGAGUGAAGAAGGUCUUCGGAUCGUAAAACUCUGUUGUUAGAGAAGAACACGAGUGAGAGUAACUGUUCAUUCGAUGACGGUAUCUAACCAGCAAGUCACGGCUAACUACGUACCAG